AGCUAAUACUGUUGUAACUGGGGAUCCUUAUUGUAGCAACACACUUUUGUAGGGAAGGCAAUCCUGCGCUGCGUUAGCUAAGUUUUCAUGUCAUCGGGUGUAGUUCAUAAAGGUUGAAGAGUGUAUGUUAGGAUGAAGUGUGAAUUCAUGCCAGGAAUAAUAAGUGUGAAGUUUGAUUUCCUCCCUUCUGUAAUAAGCAGCCAAUGAGAUCAAACGUCCUGCCUGUAAAUCCUGGGUAUGCCCACAUCAUUAAUGAAUAAGAUGUGUAGAAAACUGUUUAGCCAUAGUUAAAGGCCUUUCAUAAAGAGCCUGUCAUGAUUGCAUGUCCCUUAUGUUUAACACGUAUUGCUUGUUACAGAAUACUACUGUUGUACAUUUAAUAUCCCCUAGCAGAUUUCGUUGCCUUUGCACAAAUUCUGUCAUGUUACUGUGGUCUUUUUAAAAGUCAAUAAAAAUGUGUGUAAAGUGUA